GAUACGCUCACUCACCUGGGCUCAUGGCCCCUUAUCGCGGUGUUCGAUACCACUUACAUGAAUAUCGAACCGGGAGAGCACCCAUGAACAAGAAGGAGCUGCUCAAUUACUGACACGCGCAAUUGCGAAACGCAGUUAAGCGUUGUUUUGGCGUAAUGAAAGGACGGUUUCCUAUCUUGAAGACAGCUGCGCAAUAUCCAUUUGAAACCUAGGUGAAGAUUGUAGUAGCAUGUUGUAUACUACAUAAUUUCAUUUGUCAAGAAGACGAAACUAAACAAGAUUUAGAGGAUGCUGGUAUAACUGUGGGGGAUGCAGAGAGUAAUCCUACACCAAAUGAGGUAUCAACAAUGGAUGAGCGCUAGUGGCUAGUGCAAGCGACACAACAGGAGAAAUCUAUGUGGAUUAAUGUUCGAGAUCAGAUUGCAGAGCGAAUGUGGACCGACGCGCAAACAAAUAGUGACAUGUCUGACUAUUCUGUAAGAGAUACACAAACUCCGAUGCAGUCCCCAACAAGAACUCCAGUUCUGCCGACAAGAUGCUCUCCACACGAGAAGACUGUUAAAUCGCUUGUUGAGCCACUAUCACGCGCGGUAAAAAUCAAAUGGACCCGGACCAUGGAUUCAAUUUUAUUCAACGCUUUGCUUGAACAGAUAUCUCUAGGCCGUAAAGCAGAUAACGGUUUUAAGGAGGCAUAUAAUGAGGCCGCUGCGGAGGUGUCGAGGAAGACACAAAUUACGGUGAACUGGCAAAAUAUUUAAAACUGAGUGCGAUAUCACAAGCGUGAGUACAACAAUCUGAAGGACAUGCUCGCCGCAAGUGGUUUCGUUUAGGACAGCAAGCGUAUGGUAGUAACCGCACCCGACGAGGUCUGGGAUGAGUACCUGAAGUCACAUCCAAGAGCAGAAAGGUUACGUGGAAAGCGGAUUGAGCAAAUGAACGAUUUGGCGGCGAUUGUUGGUUCGGACCAUGCAACAGGUCGCUACGCUCAGGGAAGCAGAAACAUGGCUGCAUCUUCCUCCGUAUUCAGCGAGAUUUGAAUGAUGCUUGGACUGAUCUGGACGAUGAGACGGAUGUACCUAUCGAUCUUUCUGAGGAUCAUCUCGGAGAUUCGACUCGGAAUUAUGACUUUUCAAAUGAUUCUCAUCGGGCAACUGAAAAUCAUUCAUUCCGCAGCACUUCCAACCGAGCGACUGACUCUGAGAGUAGUCGUGUGGGAGUGCGUCUACGAAACGGAUGCGUGCUGCUCGUCCCUGUGACAUCCUUGGCAAUUCCCUAGAUAGUGUGGCGGCGGCAAUGCGAAACUUUAAACUUGGAAAAGAGAUGAACCGCACUAGUAAAGUGUUGGAUGUCCUCGAGGAGGUUCAGGGACUGACCAACACAGAGUUUAUAGAGGUUGAUCAGAUGCUGACUCGGGAUAAGCAGCUAGCAUCUUUUUUUGUAAGUCUUUGCCCGGAGUGGAGGGUGGAGUGGUUGAAAAAAACU